AACGAACGCUGGCGGCAUGUCUAACACAUGCAAGUCGAACGAGACCUUCGGGUCUAGUGGCGCACGGGUGCGUAACGCGUGGGAACCUGCCUUUAGGUUCGGAAUAACUCAGAGAAAUUUGAGCUAAUACCGGAUGAUGUCUUCGGACCAAAGAUUUAUCGCCUUUAGAUGGGCCCGCGUUGGAUUAGCUAGUUGGUGGGGUAAAGGCCUACCAAGGCGACGAUCCAUAGCUGGUCUGAGAGGAUGAUCAGCCACACUGGGACUGAGACACGGCCCAGACUCCUACGGGAGGCAGCAGUGGGGAAUAUUGGACAAUGGGCGAAAGCCUGAUCCAGCAAUGCCGCGUGAGUGAUGAAGGCCUUAGGGUUGUAAAGCUCUUUUACCCGAGAUGAUAAUGACAGUAUCGGGAGAAUGAGCUCCGGCUAACUCCGUG
rnacentral:rRNA from 1 species